UCUUCGUUGCGAUUCCUACACUUCCAUCACAAAUCAGUUUUCUUCAUUGCGAUUAGUGGAAACGCUCAAGAUUCCAACGAUUCGGCUUAGUAUUGUUUGUUCGGUCACAAUCUAGACCAGAAACCCUAAUUUCAUGGCGAUGCGGUUUACGAACAAACAGAUCUGUGGAUAGAAUGCCCUAGCCGCCGCCUCCAGCAGU